rnacentral:rRNA from 1 species
GGGGGAUAACGUAGCGAAAGUUACGCUAAUACCGCAUACGAUCUAAGGAUGAAAGUGGGGGAUCGCAAGACCUCAUGCUCCUGGAGCGGCCGAUAUCUGAUUAGCUAGUUGGCGGGGUAAAAGCCCACCAAGGCAACGAUCAGUAGCUGGUCUGAGAGGACGACCAGCCACACUGGAACUGAGACACGGUCCAGACUCCUACGGGAGGCAGCAGUGGGGAAUUUUGGACAAUGGGCGCAAGCCUAAUCCAGCCAUGCCGCGUGAGUGAAGAAGGCCUUCGGGUUGUAAAGCUCUUUCAGCCGGGAAGAAAACGCAUGGGUUAAUACCCUGUGUGGAUGACGGUACCGGAAUAAGAAGCACCGGCUAACUACGUGCCAGCAGCCGCGGUAAUACGUAGGGUGCGAGCGUUAAUCGGAAUUACUGGGCGUAAAGCGUGCGCAGGCGGUUUGUUAAGAUAGGCGUGAAAUCCCCGGGCUCAACCUGGGAACUGCGUUUAUGACUGGCAGGCUAGAGUAUGGCAGAGGGGGGCGGAAUUCCACGUGUAGCAGUGAAAUGCGUAGAGAUGUGGAGGAACACCGAUGGCGAAGGCAGCCCCCUGGGCCAAUACUGACGCUCAUGCACGAAAGCGUGGGUAGCAAACAAGAUUAGAUACCCUGGUAGUCCACGCCCUAAACGAUGUCAACUAGGUGUUGGGUGG